CCCCAACAGCAGAAGCUAGCAAAGCCCACAAAUGACGGAAACGUUCAGAAGAAAAACAAAGUUCUUGGAAUCCGCCGCCGACGAACCCUUUCCCCUCCCGCCCCGGCCGCUCCGGUGGCGGAAACCACCGCCGGCCAUGUCGAACUACUCCAGCCACGUCAUGGAGCUACGCGAGCUCACCGCGGGCUACUCCUCCGCCGCCGGCCUGGCCCGGCCUCCGCCCACUUCAAGGCCAAGCUGUGCGAGGUCCUCCCCAGCCUCCUCCGCGACCAUGUCCUCCCCUCCCCCACCGCGAACGAGAGGGAGACCACUGCGGUGCUGAAGCUGCUCACAUACACGGCGCGCCGGUUCCCCGGGGUCUUCUUCAACGGCCGCCCCGCCGAGGUCGUCCGCGUCAUCGGCCACAUCCUCCCCUUCUUCGCAGACCCCGACUACCAGUCUGGAGACACUGAACUAUUUGAAGAUGAAGCUCGGUUGAUUGGUGACUGUGGUGAAGACUAUGGUUAUCCCGCUUAUGUUGAUCUCAUCAGUUUGCUGAAACGGAUGUGGUCUGAUGGUCAUUCCACUCAAGCAUGUUUGGACUGGAAGUUAAAAUGCCUUAUGGUACAAUUUAUUGCCAAGAUUGACGGUAGACUGAAUACCGAAUGUUACCUGGAAGUCCUUGAACUGGCUAUCCAUAGUUGAUAUGCUGAGGUUCAAAAUGAAGCCCUUAUGUCACUACCCAUUAUUGUCCUGUACUCUGGUGAUGUUCAAGAAACUUGAGUUGUUUGGCGAUUUAGGAUCUGAGAAAGUGUGGAAAUGCCUUGCCUUUUCACUUGGUUUCCUCUCUUGUUUAAAUGGAACCACUAAUGUUACUGACAAAGCAGGGAGCAGUUGCAAGCUGUUCUUGGACAAGCACUCAAAACAACCAGUCUCAACAUUACAUCUUCUCUUAAAAUAUUUCUGUUGUCCUCAGUGUGAUAUCAAAACUGUCAAUACUAUUUCUACUGUGGACUGCAAGCUGGGAUUGUUGACUUGAAAAUAACAUGUUGAAGGCCCACAUACUUUUCUUCAAGUUCCUCUAUGCACAGACUUCCAGAUGAAGUGGGAAUGGAGGGGGCACCAAAGAAGUCAACUUCAUGGACAAAACAAAGCAUGCUUUUGCACAAGCUGAAGAUUCUCACGUGACUCUUUUGGAAUCAACUGCUACAGUUAUGCAAGCCAGUGAUACUCAAGGAGAUGCUUUUUUCUGCUCAUUUGUAUUGCUUAUUGCUCAGCUUGAUAACCCCGAUCCCAUCGUAAGGAAGAACACAUCGAGAUUACUUCACAGAGGCUGCACUUACUGUUUCAAAGGAGGAAUAGAACUUUUCCUCUCGAAGAACUUCCGUGUUAGAGAUAAUUUAUAUGAUUACCUUUCAUCUAGACUUUUGAGUCAUCCUGCAGUGGUCAGUGAAUUUGCUGAGGCUGUUCUUGGGAUUAAGACUGCAGAGCCGAUUAGGAGGAUGGUUCCAUUAGUCAUACCAAAGCUGAACCAGCUGCAUGGUUUCAUGCCAGAUUGGCUGAUGCACACACUGCUGCAGUCUGGUCGAUGGUUGGGCACAUUGUUGGGCUCGGUGACAGGCAUGGUGAAAACAUCCUUAUUGACUCGACAACCGGGGACUGUGUCCAUGUGGAUUUUUCAGUUGCCUGUUUUAGAAGGGGUUGCUGCUUGAGAAGCCUAAGGUGGUGCCGUUUAGGCUUACACAAAGCAUGAUUGAUGGCUUGGGCAUCGCUGGAUAUGAAGGCAUCUUUCUAAAGGUAUGUGAGAUCACUCUGUCGGUCCUCAGGGGUCACAAGGAGGCGCUCAUGACUGUCCUCGAGACCUUCAUCCACGACGCACUGGUGGACCAAAACCAGCAAAUCCAGCGGAGGUGAGGUCCGCAACCCACAGGCACUGGGCCAUCACUAACAUCACGGCAAGGCUCUAGGGAGUCGUGGUGGGUGUCAACGCGGCCCCCUCCCUGCCACUCUCCGUGGAAGGCCAGGCGCACCGCCUGAUUGCUGAAGUGGUCUCCCACAAAAACCUCGGCAAGAUGUACAUCUGGUGGAUGCCCUGGUUCUAACACUCUAACAGGCAUGAUGAUGACAAAGCAGCCGAGGCAGCACAAGGGUUUUUGAAGUGUUGUGUUCCCAUGAGAGAAUGUAGCUUGUCUGGAGCAAGCACUUCGAGUGGCGCAUACGGGCUUCACACGUCUCUGCAGUCGGGAGGAUACUCCUAACCUCGAUGACGCAGCUUAGUUUCAACAUGUUUGGCUUCUGUGCUGCCAUUGUUGGCUCCUCGCCACAUCCACAAAGACCCAUCUUAUCGCUGCUGCUUUACUGCAUUAACACAGUGUACUACAUGGCAUCCUUUGCCAACAUGAUAUCUGACAUGAAGAGGUGGAUGCGGCAUGCUGCUCAUGUCGCUGUCGCACGGUGGCUAGUUCACCUAUGUCGGCUGCCAAGAAGAAUUUAUGUAUUGUAGCAGGAUUUCUGCAGAGCACAGAAUAUGCAUCUGAUAUCAUUUUGACUCCGCUUUGCACAAAGUUGCAGAUUGAUUCCCUUAAGGAGGUCAUUGCCCAGGCCGUGGCGGAUGCCAAGGAGAAGAACAUCAAGUUCACCGAGGCCAUCCGUUGAGCUCCUGAUCGGGCUCAAGAACCAUGACCAGCAAAAAGGCAAGCGGCACCAUCAGGCUGGCUGAAGAUGAGGGUCUGCAUGCUCAAAGCCCGCAAUAAAGUGAUGGACAGAUGAGCUUCUUUGACGAAGGGAUCGUCGGAUGUGACGCUGAAGCGGUACAUGGAGUAGCAGACUGCCGUGGCUCGUGAAUGCGAGAAGUGGAUGCAUGCAGCCCUGAUGCGGCAGCGGCAGCCGCAGCCGCAAGGGAGAAGUGGAGCCGGAGCAGUAUGCUAGAUAAGAAACAGUACGUUGCCAGCUUUGCUAGUUCAUGUACCGCUUUUAUGUUGCCCGGAUGACAUGCUUUUUGUUUCUUAUAUCGGACAGACUUUUAAUCUUUUGUUUAAUAUAUUCGAAUUUUGUGAAAA